GUGCUCACAUUGGCAGCAAAUACACUAAAAUUGGAAUGAUACAUAGAAAAUUAUCACGGCCACUGCUCAAUGAUGGCAUGCAAAUUCAUGAAGCAUUCCAUAUUUUU